rnacentral:rRNA from 1 species
AGACGUCUACAUUAGACUACCCUGUAGUCCCAGCCGUAAACUAUGCUCGCUAGGUGUCAGGCAUGGCGCGACCGUGUCUGGUGCCGCAGGGAAGCCGUGAAGCGAGCCACCGUGGGAAGUACGGCCGCAAGGCUAGAAACUUAAAGGAAUUGGCGGGGAGCACCACAACGGGUGGAGCCUGCGGUUUAAUUGGACUCAACGCCGGGAAGCUCACCGGAUAAGACAGCGGAAUGAUUGCCGGGCUGAAGACUCUGCAUGACUAGCUG